rnacentral:rRNA from 1 species
CCUACGGGGGGCUGCAGUGGGGAAUAUUGCACAAUGGGCGCAAGCCUGAUGCAGCCAUGCCGCGUGUGUGAAGAAGGCCUUCGGGUUGUAAAGCACUUUCAGCGGGGAGGAAGGCGGUGAGGUUAAUAACCUCAUCGAUUGACGUUACCCGCAGAAGAAGCACCGGCUAACUCCGUGCCAGCAGCCGCGGUAAUACGGAGGGUGCAAGCGUUAAUCGGAAUUACUGGGCGUAAAGCGCACGCAGGCGGUCUGUCAAGUCGGAUGUGAAAUCCCCGGGCUCAACCUGGGAACUGCAUUCGAAACUGGCAGGCUAGAGUCUGGUAGAGGGGGGUAGAAUUCCAGGUGUAGCGGUGAAAUGCGUAGAGAUCUGGAGGAAUACCGGUGGCGAAGGCGGCCCCCUGGACAAAGACUGACGCUCAGGUGCGAAAGCGUGGGGAGCAAACAGGAUUAGAUACCCGUGUGUC